rnacentral:misc_RNA from 1 species
CGAGCGUCAUUACAACCCUCAAGCUCUGCUUGGUAUUGGGCCUCACCCGCAAGGGCGGGCCCUAAAAUCAGUGGCGGUGCAUCUGGCUUCAAGCGUAGUAAUUCUUCUCGCUUUGGAGGACUGGAUGUGUUCCUGUCAGUAACCCUCAUAUUCUAUCAAAGGUUGACCUCGGAUCAGGUAGGGAUACCCGCUGAACUUAA